rnacentral:rRNA from 1 species
UUGAACGCUGGCGGCAUGCUUUACACAUGCAAGUCGAACGGUAACAGCACUUCGGUGGCUGACGAGUGGCGAACGGGUGAGUAAUACAUCGGAACGUGCCUAGUAGUGGGGGAUAACUACUCGAAAGAGUAGCUAAUACCGCAUGAGAUCUACGGAUGAAAUCAGGGGACCUUCGGGCCUUGUGCUACUAGAGCGGCUGAUGGCAGAUUCGGUAGUUGGUGGGGUAAAGGCUCACCAAGCCAACGAUCUGUAGCUGGUCUGAGAGGACGACCAGCCACACUGGAACUGAGACACGGUCCAGACUCCUACGGGAGGCAGCAGUGGGGAAUUUUGGACAAUGGGCGCAAGCCUGAUCCAGCAAUGCCGCGUGCAGGAUGAAGGCCUUCGGGUUGUAAACUGCUUUUGUACAGAACGAAAAGUCUUGGGUUAAUACCCUGGGACCAUGACGGUACUGUAAGAAUAAGCACCGGCUAACUACGU